UACGGAAGGUGCGAGCGUUAAUCGGAAUAACUGGGCGUAAAGGGCGCGUAGGUUGUUUUAUAAGUUGGCUGUGAAAGCCCCGGGCUCAACCUGGGAUGGUCAGUCAAAACUAUAAGACUAGAGUACAGUAGAGGGGUGUGGAAUUUCCGGUGUAGCGGUGAAAUGCGUAGAGAUCGGAAGGAACACCAGUGGCGAAGGCGGCACCCUGGACUGAUACUGACACUGAAGUGCGAAAGCGUGGGGAGCAAACAGG
rnacentral:misc_RNA from 1 species